rnacentral:rRNA from 1 species
GACGAACGCUGGCGGCGUGCCUAACACAUGCAAGUCGAGCGGAGAUUGCAGCAAUGUAAUCUUAGCGGCGGACGGGUGAGUAACGCGUGGGUAACUUGCCUCACACAGGGGGGAUAACACAGGGAAACUUGUGCUAAUACCGCAUAAAAUACCAGGGUGGCAUCAUUCAGGUAUCAAAGGAGUAAUCUGGUGUGAGAUGGACCCGCGUCCGAUUAGCUAGUUGGUAGUGUAAUAGACUACCAAGGCGACGAUCGGUAGCCGAACUGAGAGGUUGAUCGGCCACAUUGGGACUGAGACACGGCCCAGACCUCCUACGGGGUGGCAG